rnacentral:rRNA from 1 species
GUUGGAGGCUAACGCAGGGAACUGAAACAUCUUAGUACCUGCAGGAAAAGAAAAUAAAUAAUGAUUCCCCUAGUAGUGGCGAGCGAACGGGGAUUAGCCCAAACCACCCAUGUUACGGCAUGUGUGGGGUUGUAGGACCACGCUCUCGCAAGACAGUUAUUGAGAAGAAACGACUGGAAAGUCGUGCCAUAGACGGUGAUAGCCCGGUAUUCUAAGGUAACCGAAGCGUAGUGGUAUCCUGAGUAGCGCGGAGCACGAGGAAUUCUGCGUGAACCAGCCGGGACCAUCCGGUAAGGCUAAAUACUCCCGAGAGACCGAUAGCGAACCAGUACUGUGAAGGAAAGGUGAAAAGCACUUCGAAUAGAAGAGUGAAAUAGUCCCUGAAACCAUGCGCCUACAAGCGGUCGGAGCAGCUUAAGUUGUGACGGCGUGCCUUUUGCAUAAUGAACCUACGAGUUACUUUUUCCGGCAAGGUUAAGCAUCUUGAGAUGUGGAUCCGAAGCGAAAGCGAGUCUGAACAGGGCGGAUAGUCGGAAGGAGUAGACGCGAAACCAAGUGAUCUACCCUUGGGCAGGUUGAAGGUUAGGUAACACUAACUGGAGGACCGAACCGAUAAGCGUUGAAAAGCUUCCGGAUGACCUGAGGGUGGGGGUGAAAGGCUAAUCAAACUUGGAGAUAGCUCGUACUCCCCGAAAUGCAUUUAGGUGCAGCCUUGAGAGUUACUAAUGUGAGGUAGAGCGACUGAUAAGAUGCGAGGGCUUCACCGCCUAUCAAGUCUUGAUAAACUCCGAAUGCGCAUUAGUUCUAUCUCAGGAGUGAGGGCAUGGGUGCUAAGGUCCAUGUCCUAAAGGAGAAGAAUCCAGACCAUCAGCUAAGGUCCCCAAAUAAACACUAAGUUGAACUAACGAAGUCAGAUUGCUAAGACAGCUAGGAUGUUGGCUUGGAAGCAGCCAUUCAUUUAAAGAGUGCGUAACAGCUCACUAGUCGAGGAGUUUGGCGUGGAUAAUAAUCGGGCAUAAGUGUUUUACCGAAGCUAUGGGAUACGUAAGUAUCGGUAGGGGAGCAUUCCACUCAGCGUUGAAGGCGAAGCGUGAGCUUUACUGGAGCGUGUGGAAAAGCAAAUGUAGGUAUAAGUAACGAUAAAGGGGGUGAGAAACCCCCUCGCCGCAAGACUAAGGUUUCCUGAUCAACGCUAAUCGGAUCAGGGUUAGUCGGGUCCUAAGGCUCAGCCGAACGGUGAGGCCGAUGGCAGAACAGGUUAAUAUUCCUGUACUACCUGUAGGAGUGAUGUGGAGACGGAGGAGUGACAACGCCGCGGACUGACGGAAUAGUCCGUUAAAGGGUGUAGAUGUUGAUUAUCCCAGGCAAAUCCGGGAUAAGAGUCGAACCUGACAGUAUACCAAUUUCCUCGGAAAACGGUAAUAGUGCGUGUAAACAUACUCCCAAGAAAAUCCGCUAAACUUAAUCUUACAGGUACCCGUACCGUAAACGGACACACGUAGUCGGGUUGAAUAUACUCAGGCGCUUGAGUGAAUCACGGUUAAGGAACUAGGCAAAUUGACCCUGUAACUUCGGGAUAAAGGGUCCCUACCCGGUGACGGGAGGGCGCAGAGAAUAGGUCCAGGCAACUGUUUAACAAAAACACAGGGCUGUGCAAAAUUGAAAGAUCACGUAUACAGCCUGACACCUGCCCGGUGCUGGAAGGUUAAGAGGAGAUGUCAUCGCAAGAGAAGCAUUGAAUUGAAGCCCCAGUAAACGGCGGCCGUAACUAUAACGGUCCUAAGGUAGCGAAAUUCCUUGUCGGGUAAGUUCCGACCUGCACGAAUGGUGUAAUGAUCUGGACACUGUCUCAACCGUGAGCUCAGUGAAAUUGUAGUAUCGGUGAAGAUGCCGAUUACCCGCGAUGGGACGAAAAGACCCCGUGAACCUUUACUAUAGCUUAACAUUGAAUUUGGGUAAUUGAUGUGUAGGAUAGGCCGGAGACUUUGAAGCAGGCACGCCAGUGUUUGUGGAGUCGCUGUUGAAAUACGGCCCUUUGGUUAUUUGAGUUCUAACUCGCUG